AGCAGUCGCCGCGGUAAUACGGAGGGUGCAAGCGUUAAUCGGAAUUACUGGGCGUAAAGCGCACGCAGGCGGUCUGACAAGUCAGAUGUGAAAUCCCCGGGCUUAACCUGGGAACUGCAUUUGAAACUGUCAGGCUGGAGUCUUGUAGAGGGGGGUGGAAUUCCAGGUGUAGCGGUGAAAUGCGUAGAGAUCUGGAGGAAUACCGGUGGCGAAGGCGGCCCCCUGGACAAAGACUGACGCUCAGGUGCGAAAGCGUGGGGAGCAAACAGGAUUAGAUACCCGCGUAGUCCCUGUCUCUUAUAC
rnacentral:rRNA from 1 species